rnacentral:rRNA from 1 species
UACGGGGGGGGGGUAAGCGUUGUUCGGAAUUACUGGGCGUAAAGGGCUCGUAGGCGGCCAACUAAGUCAUACGUGAAAUCCCUCAGCUUAACUGGGGAACUGCGUGUGAUACUGGAUGGCUUGGAUUUGGGAGAGGGAUGCGGAAUUCCUGGUGUAGCGGUGAAAUGCGCAGAUAUCAGGAGGAACACCGGUGGCGAAGGCGGAUCUCUGGGCCAUUACUGACGCUGAGGAGCGAAAGCGUGGGGAGCGAACAGG